GUAGGGAAUCUUUCACAAUGGGCGAAAGCCUGAUGGAGCAACGCCGCGUGCAGGAUGAAGGCCUUCGGGUUGUAAACUGCUUUUAUAAGCGAGAAAUAUGAUGGUAACUUAUGAAUAAGGAUCGGCUAACUACGUGCCAGCAGCCGCGGUCAUACGUAGGAUCCGAGCAUUAUCCGGAGUGACUGGGCGUAAAGAGUUGCGUAGGUGGAUGUUUAAGUAGGUAGUGAAAUCUGGUGGCUCAACCAUUCAGACUAUUACCUAAACUGGACGUCUCGAGAGCGUCAUGGGUAACUGGAAUUUCUAGUGUAGGAGUGAAAUCCGUAGAUAUUAGAAGGAACACCGAUAGCGUAGGCAGGUUACUGGGGCGUUUCUGACACUAAGGCACGAAAGCGUAGGGAGCAAACGGGAUUAGAAACCCUAGUAGUCC
rnacentral:rRNA from 1 species